AGCCCGUUGGUCUAAUGGCAGGGCACAUGACUCUGAAUCAUGGAGCGGAGGUUCAACUCCUCCACGGGCUG
rnacentral:tRNA from 1 species